GAUGAACGCUGGCGGCGUGCCUAAUACAUGCAAGUCGAGCGAACAGACGAGGAUCUUGCUCCUCUGACGUUAGCGGCGGACGGGUGAGUAACACGUGGAUAACCUACCUAUAAGACUGGUAUAACUUCGGGAAACCGGAGCUAAUACCGGAUAAUAUAUUGAACCGUAUGGUUCAAUAGUGAAAGACGGUUUUGCUGUCACUUAUAGAUGGAUCCGCGCCGCAUUAGCUAGUUGGUAAGGUAACGGCUUACCAAGGCGACGAUGCGUAGCCGACCUGAGAGGGUGAUCGGCCACCUGGGAGCUGAGACACGGACCAGACUCCUACGGGAGGCAGCAGUAGGGAAUCUUCCGCAAUGGGCGAAAGCCUGACGGAGCGACGCCGCGUGAGAGAUGAAGGUCUUCGGAUCGUAAUACUCUGUUAUUAGGGAAGAACAAAUGUGUAAGUAACUAUGCACGUCUUGACGGUACCUAAUCAGAAAGCCACGGCUAACUACGUG
rnacentral:rRNA from 1 species